AACUGAAUAGCCAGGUUCCAUUUGCACUUCCUGUUACAGAAAAAAAAACCCGGGUCAGCGAGAGCUCCUUUCUAUCGUUUGUUACAGACUUUCCCUUUGGCUGAUUGUGAUCUAAUUCCUUAAAACAAUGGUUCUGCGUAACGCAGCCAGGUGAAUCGAAUGGUCUUUUUAUGCUUAGUGACAUUUAUUUGAAGGUUUACUAAAUUUUUGGAAACUCUUCUCAGGAUAAAAGACUGAAAAACUGCCUGUAAACACAGCUAUCAUUAAAGGCAAUGAAUAACCUAAGAACAUCCAAACAAUAUGAUAUCAGAGACUAGCAAUUUUUAUCACUCAAUGUGGCAGAAAAACCUAAAUAAAUAUUGAAAUGUUCAAUUUCUUUUUUCAUUGCUUUUUUUUCUCUUGUAUAUGAAUAUUAA